UACGGAGGGGGCUAGCGUUGUUCGGAAUUACUGGGCGUAAAGCGCGCGUAGGCGGACCUGCAAGUCGGGGGUGAAAGCCCGAGGCUCAACCUCGGAACUGCCUUCGAUACUGCGGGUCUCGAGUCCGGGAGAGGUGAGUAGAACUGCGAGUGUAGAGGUGAAAUUCGUAGAUAUUCGCAAGAACACCAGUGGCGAAGGCGGCUCACUGGCCCGGUACUGACGCUGAGGUGCGAAAGCGUGGGGAGCAAACAGG
rnacentral:rRNA from 1 species